GCGAAAAUGACACUUUCAAUGCUGUGACGACGGGCGAUCGCCGAUUAUUCGAGGGCAAAUGCGGUUGCUGUGCGCUGUCCUGCUGCCUGCAGAUUUGCCCAUCCGGCUACUGAUCCCCUAAUACGCCGUUUUCCUAGCUGCUCACGUUCGCUGCGGGACCCGUAAACGGGAGGAAGGCGAACGGAGAGAGCGCAAAGAACCGGACACUGUCCGGCGGGAGAGCGACAGUUGUUGAGCUGUGCAUGCUGCUACGGCGAGCAAAGGCUCAUCCGACGGAAUGGUCGCCGGCCGGAAUGUUUCAUAUCGUUCAUGUUCGAAAAGGAAAGAAGGUGUAGCCGGAGAUUGAGCGGCGCGCGCGCGCUGUGUUGGUGUCCGUCCGUCCUGUCCCGUGAUCGACUUGCUCCACUCGCAUGCAUGCGUGCCUGGCCGCGCCUGGGGUUCCCGUGGAAGCGAGAGCUUCUUCCAGGGAGCAAUGCGGUGACGAUGAUCAUCCCGAUGCCCAGCUUUGGCAGCAGCGACAUUUUGUUUACAACCAUGCUAUGCUGCUGCUGCUGCUGUUUCUGCUGCGAUCGUAUGUUGCUGGUAACGUUGCAGCUGCUACUGCUGACCGCGACCGUCAUCUGCUGACUCUGACUCUCUGUCUGUGUGUGUUUGCUGUCUGGGAGAUGCUGACGGCGGGCGGCUGAGGGAGAUUGAACGAGGGCUGAGAGGAAGAUACAGAAUGGGCGAGGCGAGGCGAGGCGAGCGGUGGUUGCAGUCGAUCCCCCAUGUGUCCGGCUUCGUCGGUGGCGACGACAUUUGGCAGAGUUUGUGUGUUUUUCUUCUCUUUCUUCUUUUCUUCCAGCUGGAGUAGCAAUUGCAAAUUCUCUCUAUAGUUCUCCAUUUA